AGGUAUCACUUCCUCUAUAUCUUGUUAUCUAAGAAAGUAUUAAAGCUACAUCCCAUUAUCCAGGCGGGUCCUAACAACUCUUACCUAACGACAAUUUAAACUAAGCUAUAUCUUCUAAAGGUACAACUUUCACUACAUCUUGUUAUUUAAGAAAACCUUAAAACUACGUCCCAUUAUCUAGGAGGGUCCUGACAAUCCAAAGACAAAUUUCAUC
rnacentral:lncRNA from 1 species